rnacentral:rRNA from 1 species
AGGACGAACGCUGGCGGCGUGCUUAACACAUGCAAGUCGAACGGAAAGGCCCGCUUGCGGGUACUCGAGUGGCGAACGGGUGAGUAACACGUGGGCAACCUGCCCUCAGCUUCGGGAUAACUCUCGGAAACGGGUGCUAAUACCGAAUGUUGACAUUUCCUCGCAUGGGGUUGUGUUGAAAGUUUUUCGGCUGGGGAUGGGCCCGCGGCCUAUCAGCUUGUUGGUGGGGUGAUGGCCUACCAAGGCGACGACGGGUAGCCGGCCUGAGAGGGCGAUCGGCCACACUGGAACUGAGACACGGUCCAGACUCCUACGGGAGGCAGCAGUGGGGAAUAUUGCGCAAUGGGCGGAAGCCUGACGCAGCGACGCCGCGUGAGGGAUGAAGGUCUUCGGAUUGUAAACCUCUUUCAGUAGGGACGAAUUUAGACGGUACCUGCAGAAGAGCACGGCAACUACGCGCCAGCAGCCGC